rnacentral:ncRNA from 3 species
UCUGAGAAUAGAGGUGCAUGAAAUCAAGAGUCACUUAUUAGAGACUAAUGGAGUCUGUGAAGAUAAGUAAAAGGGAUUUCGUGCCGAAGUAUAUAGACAUCCAUUGUGUUCAUAUACUGGUUCAGUAUUGAAUAAAUGCUGAGCUGUCACAAACCAUUUGGUUUGUGGAGAGCUAUUGAAGAG